rnacentral:lncRNA from 10 species
GGCAUUGGCGCAUCUGGGAACCGACGUCCGUGCGCGGCUGGCUAGAAUGCUGGACUCGCCUCCGCAGCGCUGGCCUGCAGGGAUUAGAAGACAUGUGGGGUCAAGGAACAGGAAGCUGACCUGGAUGGAAGUUGAACAGUGAUCUUUGCUCUCUGCCUGGCUCCUGAGUCCUCUGCCAUGUUCCUGGAGAAGAGGAGCCAGCCAGGGUGACCGUAACAACAUGCAAAUGGUGAGUUCUGCUGGGGGGUCAUGGAAGCUCCCUGGAGGAGGUGUAUCUGGACAACAGGGAAAGAAAGGAGCUGGAGAAGAGAGGCAGAAAAAUUGGGUCCUGGUUCAGGUGAAGUUUUCCCAGCUGGAACAAUGACAAUGUCAAUAUCCCACAAAGGCGGCUUCUGUUUAUUUAGCGCUUGCUGUGUUCCCACAAGUCUUCCUCUACCUGCCCUCUCCCCAGCCCUCAUCUCACUCUCCCAGAGCCCCAGAGCACACCAAUGGACACCAUCACCUCUCGGGCAGAUCAGCACAGAGACGUGAAGCACACAGGCAGCUGCUGGAAAAAUAACAAGGAAUUGCAAUGGUGUGCCCCUCCGUUGAAUGCAAGCUCUCU